rnacentral:misc_RNA from 1 species
GAUGAAGAACGUAGCGAAAUGCGAUACUUGGUGUGAAUUGCAGAAUCCCGUGAACCAUCGAGUCUUUGAACGCAAGUUGCGCCCGAAGCCAUCAGGUUGAGGGCACGUCUGCCUGGGCGUCACAUAUCGUUGCCCAAUGCCUAUUGCAGUGCAAUAGGAAUUUCUAGGGCGAAUGAUGGCUUCCCGUGAGCGUUGUUGCCUCGCGGUUGGUUGAAAAUCGAGUCCUUGGUAAGGUGUGCCAUGGUAGAUGGUGGUCGAGUUAGAACGAUACCGAUCAUGUGCAUGCUCCCCAAAAUAUGGCCUCUAUGACCCACACGCGUCUUUUGACGCUCAUGACGAGACCUCAGGUCAGGCGGGGCUACCCGCUGAAUUUAAGCAUAUCAAUAAGCGGAGGA